AUGAUACUGGAGCUAGAAGAGAUAUCAAAGGACCUUCAAGUCAUAAUUACAACCUGUUCACCCAUAAAGAAGAAGGUGGAUGAUCUACUUAACAAGUUGACAAAGGAAGAGAAAUAUGAUAAAGAAGAAGAUGAAAAGGAUGAGACAUCUGGGAGUGAGGAGAAAAAAUCUUCUAACAUUAUAGAAGAUAAGGAAAGUCCUGAAGAAUAA